AUUGAACGCUGGCGGCAGGCCUAACACAUGCAAGUCGAGCGGAUGAAGGGAGCUUGCUCCUGGAUUCAGCGGCGGACGGGUGAGUAAUGCCUAGGAAUCUGCCUGGUAGUGGGGGAUAACGUCCGGAAACGGGCGCUAAUACCGCAUACGUCCUGAGGGAGAAAGUGGGGGAUCUUCGGACCUCACGCUAUCAGAUGAGCCUAGGUCGGAUUAGCUAGUUGGUGGGGUAAAGGCCUACCAAGGCGACGAUCCGUAACUGGUCUGAGAGGAUGAUCAGUCACACUGGAACUGAGCCACGGUCCAGGCUCCUACGGGAGGCAGCAGUGGGGAAUAUUGGACAAUGGGCGAAAGCCUGAUCCAGCCAUGCCGAGUGUGUGAAGAAGGUCUUCGGAUUGUAAAGAACUUUAAGUUGGGAGGAAGGGCAGUAAGUUAAUACCUUGAUGUUUUGACGUUACCAACAGAAUAAGCACCGGCUAACUUCGUG
rnacentral:rRNA from 1 species